UUUAAGUAUCUGUUUAACUCACUGCAAAUUGCAAAACUAGCCCUAUAAAGUGGACUGAUUUGUUUUGUUACUGUUUGGUUGUUUGAUUUGAUACUUGAUUUAAAGAUCUCACUAUCUGGAGCACAAAUAUUACUUGCUGCAAUAUUACUUGCUGCUGAUUCUAGAAAACCUUCAUUGUGACCUGGCCUUCUGAAGCAUGUAAGGCGCAUGCUGGAGAUGAAGAGAGUGUGCAAUCUUCAUUGGAGACAAAGAGACAAGUCAGCACAAGUGCAGCGUUUUAUUUUCAACAAGUUAUGUCUGUGGACCCAGCCAUGGAGUGAAAACGCUAUUAAAAGUUGAGCUUGGAAUCACUGUGGACCUUGCAAGCUUACACAUUUCUGGGUAAAGCAACUAUCAACCAUGGCUCCUUCAGAAAACUUGAAGAAGACAAUGUCUGAAGUAUACACUGGAAAGGAUCUUUGCUUGAUUACCCAUGUAGACCAUAAAAAUUACAAAUAAUUACUAAUGUAAUGACUAGAAAAUGUGAUAUAAAACAGAGGCACUGGAAAAGAUUUUCU